rnacentral:pre_miRNA from 9 species
CGUCGAUCGCGUCAAAGUUAAUUCGAAUUUGUAUGACGUUGGAACGUUUGCCUACGCUUGCCGCUAGGGACGCUGUUUCAACUGCCUACAAAUUUUAGUUAACUUUUACGCUAUCGA